AUGGCUUUACUCACUACUGUCACCCAGUUCUUGGGAACAAAGGACGUAUCUUGUCUUGUUCUUGCUGCCUGGCAUGCCAGUACCUCCUCCAGGAAUUUGGAAGACAUAUCAGCUUACCUCAUACCCAAGGAGCAGGCCAGAAUUAAGAUCUCCAGACAGCAAUGUGGCAAGAGGGUGGUGGGCCAAAACACUGUGGGCAUGAUGUAUGGUGGCCUGAGAGGCAAGAAGGGAUUGGUAUAUGAAACAUCAGUUCUUGAUCCUAAUGAAAGCAUCCAUUUCUGAGGCUUUAGUGUCCCUGAGUGCCAAAAGCUGCCACCCAAGCCUAAGGGUAAGAAAGAAACCCUGCUGGAGGGUUUAUUUCAGCUGCUGGUGGCUGAACAGAUCCCAACAGAGGAAACAGGCAUCUUGGCUUUCAAAAAAGUGGGCAAAGAGGACAGCUCUACCCUCCCACGUGGUCAUGAUGCUGGACAACUUUCCCACCAAUAUACAUCCCAUGUCUCAGCUCAGUGCAGCCUUUACAGCCCUCAACAGUGAAAGUAAUACUGCCUGAGCAUAUGCAGAGGGUAUCAAGUACUGGGAGCUGAUUUAUGAAGACUGUGUGGAUCUGAUCACAAAGCUACCUGUGUUGCAGCAAAGAUCUACCAAAAUCUCUACUAAAAGGGCAAAAAUGUUGGGGACAUUGACUCCAAGCUGCACUGGCCCCACAAUUUCACCAACAUGUUAGGCUAUACUGAUGCUUAGUUCACUGAGCUCAUGCAUCUGUAUCAAACCAUCCACAGUGACCAUGAGGGCAGCAAUGUAAGUGCCUAUAUCAGCAACUUGUUGGGCAGUGCCCCUUCAAGCCCUUAUCUGUCCUUUGCAACAGCCAUGAAUGGAUUGACAGGCCCUCUACAUGUACUAGCAAAUCAGGAAGUGCUUGUCUGGCUAAUUUAACUACAGAAGGCAGUUGGCAAAGAUGUGGCAGAUGAGAAAUUAUGAGACUACACCUGGAACACACUCAACCCAAGAUGAAGUUAUUCCAGACUAUGGCCAUGUAGUGCUAAAGAAGAUUGAUCCACGAGGUACCUGCUGUGAGAGUUUGCUCUGAAACACCACAUAAUGACCCCAUGUUAACUUGGUUGCUCAACUACACAAGAUUGUGCUUAAUAUCCUCUUAGAGAAUGGCAAGGCCAAGAAUCCUUGGCCCAAUGUAGACACACCCUGGGGUACUGCUCCAGUACUAUGGCAUGAUGGAAAUGAAUUACUACACUGUUCUGUUCAGAGUGUCUCAGGCAUUGGGUGUACUGGCACAGCUCAUCUGAAGUCAUGCACUAGGAUUCCCUCUAGAAAGGCCCAAGUCCAAGACAUAG
rnacentral:lncRNA from 1 species